UGAACUUAAGCAUAUCAAUAAGCGGAGGAAAAGAAACCAAACAGGGAUUGCCUCAGUAACGGCGAGUGAAGCGGCAACAGCUCAAAUUUGAAAUCUGGCCCUUGGGUCCGAGUUGUAAUUUGUAGAGGAUGUUUCUGGCGCGGUGCCUUCCGAGUUCCCUGGAACGGGACGCCAUAGAGGGUGAGAGCCCCGUCUGGUUGGAUGCCUAGCCUCUGUGAAACUCCUUCGACGAGUCGAGUAGUUUGGGAAUGCUGCUCUAAAUGGGAGGUAUAUGUCUUCUAAAGCUAAAUACCGGCCAGAGACCGAUAGCGCACAAGUAGAGUGAUCGAAAGAUGAAAAGCACUUUGAAAAGAGGGUUAAAUAGUAUGUGAAAUUGUUGAAAGGGAAGCGCUUAUGACCAGACUUGGGCAUGGUGAAUCAUCCGGCGUUCUCGCCGGUGCACUUUACCGGUCCAGGCCAGCAUCAGUUCGCCUCGGGGGAUAAAGGCUUCGGGAACGUGGCUCCUCCGGGAGUGUUAUAGCCCGUUGUGUAAUACCCUGCGGCGGACUGAGUUCGCGCUCCGCAAGGAUGCUGGCGUAAUGGUCAUCAGCGACCCGUCUUGAAACACGGACCAAGGAGUCGU
rnacentral:rRNA from 1 species